UCUCCGUUGGUGAACCAGCGGAGGGAUCAUUACCGAGUUUACAACUCCCAAACCCAAUGUGAACGUUACCAAACUGUUGCCUCGGCGGGGUCACGCCCCGGGUGCGUCGCAGCCCCGGAACCAGGCGCCCGCCGGAGGAACCAACCAAACUCUUUCUGUAGUCCCCUCGCGGACGUUAUUUCUUACAGCUCUGAGCAAAAAUUCAAAAUGAAUCAAAACUUUCAACAACGGAUCUCUUGGUUCUG
rnacentral:misc_RNA from 1 species